rnacentral:lncRNA from 1 species
UUGCAUUAUACAGUUAAUUAAUAUAAAGAUAUUAUAAUGAGCCUCUUAUGCGAAAUUUUUAUGGUAUGAAACAUUGUCGGUAACUAUUGUAAUGUAUAUUGAUAAAACCAUGAAAGAUAUUACUAUAAAAGGAUUUGAUCGUUGUCAUUUUUUUGAAUCUUGCACUCUUUAAGUUCGCCCCUCCCCCUAACAAAUCCUGGCUUCGCCACUG